GUGGGGAAUUUUGGACAAUGGGCGCAAGCCUGAUCCAGCAAUGCCGCGUGCAGGAAGAAGGCCUUCGGGUUGUAAACUGCUUUUGUACGGAACGAAAAGGCUCUGGUUAAUACCUGGGGCUCAUGACGGUACCGUAAGAAUAAGCACCGGCUAACUACGUGCCAGCAGCCGCGGUAAUACGUAGGGUGCAAGCGUUAAUCGGAAUUACUGGGCGUAAAGCGUGCGCAGGCGGUUUUGUAAGACAGGCGUGAAAUCCCCGGGCUCAACCUGGGAAUGGCGCUUGUGACUGCAAGGCUGGAGUGCGGCAGAGGGGGAUGGAAUUCCGCGUGUAGCAGUGAAAUGCGUAGAUAUGCGGAGGAACACCGAUGGCGAAGGCAAUCCCCUGGGCCUGCACUGACGCUCAUGCACGAAAGCGUGGGGAGCAAACAGGAUUAGAUACCCUUGUAGUCC
rnacentral:rRNA from 1 species